rnacentral:tRNA from 1 species
GCCCAGGUAGCUCAGUUGGUAGAGCAGCGGACUGAAAAUUCGCGUGUCGUCAGUUCAAUUCUGACCCUGGGCA